rnacentral:lncRNA from 1 species
AGACACACACACAGACACACGCGGGCCACCCCACGGCCACGCGCCACGCACCCCGCACCCACACCCGCGCUCACACUCACAUUCACACACACACACUCACACUCACACGCGCAGGCCCCGCGGCCGCCGCUUCCCGGAGGCGGUGCUUGGCCCGGAUCCCGGCUGGGGCUGGGAAGGAGAGGACUUGGGUGAGGAGCUGCUGCCACCCGGGCUGGGCCAGGACCUGAGAUCUCAUUGCUCCUGCUGCCGCUGCUGCCUGGGGGACCUUUCUGAGACCCAGGUCGGGGACAGUGCCGGAGGGGCCUCCUCUGCUGCAGACAUCUGAGCAGAGACGACUGGCCGCCCUGAGCGCAAUUCAAUUCAACAGACAUUUACUGAGUGCCUACUAUGCGCCAGGCCUUAGGCUGGGCACUGGGGGAGGGGCGCAGAGAGGAAGAUGG